rnacentral:rRNA from 1 species
UACGGGGGGAGCAAGCGUUGUUCGGAUUUACUGGGCGUAAAGGGCGCGUAGGCGGCGUGACAAGUCACUUGUGAAAUCUCCGGGCUUAACUCGGAACGGUCAAGUGAUACUGUCGUGCUAGAGUACAGAAGGGGCAACUGGAAUUCUCGGUGUAGCGGUGAAAUGCGUAGAUAUCGAGAGGAACACCUGCGGCGAAGGCGGGUUGCUGGGCUGACACUGACGCUGAGGCGCGAAAGCUAGGGGAGCGAACGGG